AGAACGCAGCGAAAUGCGAUAAGGAAUGUGAAUUGCAGAAUUCAGUGAAUCAUCGAAUCUUUGAACGCACCUUGCGCUCCUUGGUAUUCCUUGGAGCAUGCCUGUUUGAGUAUCAUGAAAUCUUCAAAGUAAAUCUUUUGUUAACUCAAUUGGUUUCUACUUUGGUAUUGGAGGUCUUUGCAGCUUCACACCUGCUCCUCUUUGUUCAUUAGCUGGAUCUCAGUGUUAUGCUUGGUUCCACUCGGCGUGAUAAGUUAUCUAUCGCUGAGGACACUGUAAAAGGUGGCCAAGGUAAAUGCAGAUGAACCGCUUCUAAUAGUCCAUUGACUUGGACAAUACUUUUAUGAUCUGAUCUCAAAUCAGGUAGGACUACCCGCUGAACUUAAGC
rnacentral:misc_RNA from 1 species